rnacentral:misc_RNA from 1 species
AAAUUUCUCUUCCCCACUGCCCGCAUAUCGGUGGCACCCAUGACGUAGAAAUGAUGAGCUUGAGUUUCACUUCCAAAUCUAGCCUCCAUGAAUUAACCCAGCUACCAAAGAGAUCCAAAUUCACAAACAGAACCAACAGUGAUAUAAAAGCCCCAGAAAAUUAAACCCACUCGCCUUAAAAUAUCAGAGCUUUAAUUAAACCCCAGAAAAAGCAGUAAUUGAGAAAUUCACCUAAUCAGCCUCGCUUCGUCCCCAAAAGUCCCACAAACAGUACACCACCACACCCAUGGUUCUAAUUAAGAGCAACCCACAUGCCAGUACCUUUUAAUCAGCUAAAUCCCCCUCUCCAAAAUCCAGCGUACAAACUCUAAUUGCAUUAAUCCCAAUUUCAGGCUCUGAACUCCAUCCAGCUAAAUUAACCACACACAACAGUAACACCCAACACAAAGACGGUGGGUACGCUUUUCACACUGCGUGCCUAUCUCGCACUCACGAUAAGAAAAGAUGCUUCCAUUUUUUUUUUCUUUCAUCGUUCCAUCUUCUGAUCUUCCUUUUG